rfam:Clostridium sp. CAG:302 genomic scaffold, scf59
AGAUACCUAGAGGAUACGACAUCUUUAGUAUAAAACCGACUAAAGAUAUUAAACGGGGAGCUAAUAUAGUUUAUGUGUUGAAUACCUAUCAUUGAUAGGGAUCCUAAUUAGACUAUUGUGCUGACCCACCUGUGACUUACGCCGCGGGUUUUAUCUUACAGAGUCGGUCCAUCUGGGUCUUUU